rnacentral:rRNA from 1 species
GGCCUUGACAUACUAAGAACUUUCCAGAGAUGGAUUGGUGCCUUCGGGAACUUAGAUACAGGUGCUGCAUGGCUGUCGUCAGCUCGUGUCGUGAGAUGUUGGGUUAAGUCCCGNAACGAGCGCAACCCUUUUCCUAUUUGCCAGCGGGUCAUGCCGGGAACUUUAAGGAUACUGCCAGUGACAAACUGGAGGAAGGCGGGGACGACGUCAAGUCAUCAUGGCCCUUACGGCCAGGGCUACACACGUGCUACAAUGGUCGGUACAAAGGGUUGCUACCUCGCGAGAGGAUGCUAAUCUCAAAAAGCCGAUCGUAGUCCGGAUCGCAGUCUGCAACUCGACUGCGUGAAGUCGGAAUCGCUAGUAAUCGCGGAUCAGAAUGCCGCGGUGAAUACGUUCCCGGGCCUUGUACACACCGCCCGUCACACCAUGGGAGUUUGUUGCACCAGAAGUAGGUAGUCUAACCGCAAGGAGGACGCUUACCACGGUGUGGCCGAUGACUGGGGUGAAGUCGUAACAAGGUAGGCGUAGAUGA